rnacentral:rRNA from 1 species
CCUACGGGCGGCAGCAGUGGGGAAUAUUGGGCAAUGGGCGCAAGCCUGACCCAGCAACGCCGCGUGAAGGAAGAAGGCUUUCGGGUUGUAAACUUCUUUUCUCAGGGACGAAGAAAGUGACGGUACCUGAGGAAUAAGCCACGGCUAACUACGUGCCAGCAGCCGCGGUAAUACGUAGGUGGCAAGCGUUAUACGGAUUUAUUGGGUGUAAAGGGCGUGUAGGCGUGAGCGCAAGUCAGAUGUGAAAACUCAGGGCUCAACCCUGAGCCUGCAUUUGAAACUGUGUUUCUUGAGUGCUGGAGAGGCAAUCGGAAUUCCUUGUGUAGCGGUGAAAUGCGAAGAUAUAAGGAAGAACACCAGUGGCGAAGGCGGAUGACUGGACGGCAACUGACGGUGAGGCGAGAAAGCGUGGGGAGCAAACAGGAUUAGAUACCCCUGGUAGUC